GAGUGCCUCCUGUCCUCUGCUGCACACCUGGAGAUAUGUUCCACUUUCUCCCAGAGCUCUCAUAAAAAGAUAAGUGAUCAGAGUAACACCAGGCUGGCUGUACUGAUGGCAACUGCCUUGGUCAUGCCAUGGGCAUGGCACAGCAGGCACAGGGUUGGCAGUUCCCUGUGUCUCAUAGGCACUGGUGAUCUAGCCAAUAAUGGGAGGUCAAAUGAAGUGCUGAACCGCUUUGCCAGCACUGGCCAAAGUAGAGCAGGAUGGUGAGCAGAGUCAGAGCCAGAGGCCCAGAGGAGAACAUUCCCAUGAAUGCCUCCUGUCCUCUGCUGCUCACCGGGAGACAUGUUCCACGAUAAACAAGGACACAGAUACAAAGAUAAGUGAUCAGAAAAACACCAGACUGGUUGUACUUCUGGGCAUCAGCUGCUGGCACCUUCCUUGGUCAUGGCAUGGGCAUGGCACAGCAGGAACAAUGUUGGCAGUUCAUUGUGUCAAACAGGCACUGGUGCCAUGGCCAGCACUGGGAGGUCUCAUGAAGUGCUAACCACGGUGCCCGCACAGGCCAGAGUAGAGCAGGAUUAUGAGCAGAGUCAGAGCCAGAGGCCCAGAGGAGAACAUGCCCAGACCAUGAGUGCCUCCUGUCCUCUGCUGCUCACCUGGAGACAUGUUCCACGUUCUCCAAGAGCUCUUAUAAAAAGAUAAGUGAUCAGAGUAACUCCAGGCUGGCUGUACUUCAGGGUAUCACGCUGACAACAGCCUCGUUGACACCAUGGGCAGGGCACAGCAGGCACAGUGUUGGCAGUUCCCUGUGUCACACACGCAUUGGAGACAUGAUGGCCGUAGGGACGUAAUAAAAAGAGCUUCUCGCUGCUGCGAGCCCAGGCCAGAAAAAACAGGAUGGUGAGCAGAGUCAGAGGUAAGAGGCCAGGAGAGAUGGCAUGGAAGGGAAUGUCUAAGACCUGGGAAGGGCGGCAGGCGUGUGUCUGAUGCUCCAGACUGUGUGUCCUGUUGCUUUGUCUUGGACAGCCAGAGGCCCAGAGGAGAACAUGCCCAGACCAUGAGUGCCUCCUGUCCUCUGCUGCUCACCUGGAGACGUCUUCCACUUUCUCCAAAAGCUCUCAUAAAAAGAUAAGUGAUCAGAGUAACACCAGGCUGGCUGUACUUCUGGGCAUCAGCUCAUGGCAACGGCCAUAGUUGUGUCAUGGGCAUGGCACAGUGGAACAAUGUUGGCAGUUCAUUGUGUCAAACAGGCAUUGGUGCCAUGGCCAGCCAAUAAUGGGAGGUCACAUGAAGUGCUGAACCCAUUUGCCUGCAAAGGCCAGAGGAGAGCAGGAUAGUGAGCAGAUUCAGAGGUAAGAGGGCAGAGAGAUGGCAUGGAAAAUGGGAUGGUCUGGGACCUGCCCAUGGAGGCAGAGAGAGCUGUGAUGCUAGAGAUUGUGUGUCCUCUGUCUUGGACGGCCAGAGGCCCAGAGGAGAACAUGCCCAGACCAUGAGUGCCUCCUGUCCUCUGCUGCUCACCUGGAGACAUGUUCCACCUUACACAAGGACACUGAUCCAAAGAUAAGUGAUCAGACAAAACCACCAGGCUGGCUGUACUGGGCAUCAGCUGCUGGUAACUGCCUUGGUGAUGCCAUGGGCAUGGCACAGCAGGCACGAUAUUUGCAGAUCUUUGUGUCAAACACGCACUGGUGUCAUGACCAAUACUGGGAGGUCAACAUGAAGUGCUGAACCGUUGUGCCAGCACAGGCCAGAGGAGAUCAGGAUGGUGAGCAGAGUCAGUUGUAAGAGUCCAGAGACAUGGCAUGGAAGGGAAGGUCUGGGACCUGGCCAAGGUGUAAGAGAUAGCUGUGAUGCUGCAGAUUGUGUGUCCACCUGCUUUGUCUUGGACAGCCAGAGGCCCAGAGGAGAACAUGCCCAGACCAUGAGUGCCUCCUGUCCUCUGCUGCUCACCUGGAGACAUGUUCCACCUUACACAAGGACACUGAUCCAAAGAUAAGUGAUCAGACAAAACCACCAGGCUGGCUGUACUGGGCAUCAGCUGCUGGCAACUGCCUUGGUGACGCCAUGGGCAUGGCACAGCAGGCACGAUAUUUGCAGAUCUUUGUGUCAAACACGCACUGGUGACAUGGCCAAUACUGGGAGGUCAACAUGAAGUGCUGAACCGUUGUGCCAGCCCAGACAAGAGGAGAUCAGGAUGGUGAGCAGUGUCGGUGGUAUGAGGCCAGAGAGAUGGCAUGGAAGGGAAGGUCUGGGACCUGGCCAAGGUGUAAGAGAUAGCUGUGAUGCUGCAGAUUGUGUGUCCUCUUGCUUUGUCUUGGACAGCCAGAGGCCCAGAGGAGAACAUGCCCAGACCAUGAGUGCCUCCUGUCCUCUGCUGCACACCUGGAGAUAUGUUCCUCUUUCUCCAAGAGCUCUCAUAAAAAGAUAAGUGAUCAGAGUAACACCAGGCUGGCUGUACUGAUGGCAACUGCCUUGGUCAUGCCAUGGGCAUGGCACAGCAGGCACAGGGUUGGCAGUUCCCUGUGUCUCAUAGGCACUGGUGAUCUAGCCAAUAUUGGGAGGUCACAUGAAGUGCUGAACCGCUUUGCCAGCAC